rnacentral:rRNA from 1 species
UAGCGAAAGCUAAUUGCAAAUAUCGACUCUGUCGAAUAAAAUUCUAGGUAGAAUUAUGAUAAUGACAUUAUCUGCCUAUGUGUCUUGACCAAAUUACGUGCCAGCAGUCGCGGUAAUACGUAGAAGACUAGUGUUAUUCAUCUUUAAUAGGUUUAAAGGGUACCUAGACGGUAAAUCAAGCACUAAUUUACUAGAGUUACUUAUGAGGGGGUAUUAAAGUACUGCUGGUGUAGAGAUGAAAUUCUGUGAUACCUCUUUUCGAUGGCACAGGUAUAGGCGAAAGCAUCCCCUUAUGUGAUAACUGACGUU